CGCUGGACUCCUCACAGUCUGGGUUCACAGGGUGGGUAGAGCCAUCUGCAAGGGCAAACCAGAAUGAGAGGGGAGAGGAGGAUGCUGCUAAAACCCCUGCCCACAGAAACUAUCAGAAAAACAGCAUCAAGAAAGCCUUGAAGCUUCCGACAGACCCUGAGUGGCAGAAAUAUUAAAACACAGCAUGGCAGGCCACACUGGUGGACAGCGUUUCCUGGCCGGGUCCCAGGUACCUUAUAUAACAGUGCAGUUUAAUCAGGGUCACUGGCCCUGGAGCGGAGAACUGGAGGCGCUGACGUUGAUGCAGUGGCUUCAACCGGUGAAGGGCCGGUGAAGCAGGAGCCCUGACGCAGAGACGAGGGGCUUGCCCAGGGGGCGGGGCCGCGGGCGGGCGGGCGGGCGGCUGCUCACCUCGGUGGCGCGGCAGGUACACCUGUAGGUCUGGCUUGCGGGGCCGCGUGGGCGCGGGCGUGUGGCGCCUCCUCGCCUUCUCCUUGGCCGCCUGCUUCACCUUCUUGUCGUAGUCGUCCCUGCGGGGAGCCGAGCGGGAGUCAGGCGCUGUCACCCGGCCGAAUCGGGCCGGGCCGGGCCUGGGGCGGGGCGGUACCGAGCGAUCUGGUUCCGACGGAUGUGGUGUACGAAGCCGUGGCUCAUGUCCAGACGCCCGCCGGGCUUGCAGCACAACCCCGGGCCGGGAUCCCGGGACGCCUCCAUUCAGAUCUUGGAUACAGAACCGCCGCAACCGCCACAACGGCCGUGAAUUCAGGCCGCCGGCUGUGGACCACGACUUCCGGCCGCGGACCUCGACUUCCGGCUCCAAUUCCCUUUUUCCGGUUGCGUAGGGGCGGGUGCAGCGGGAACGUAGAUACUUUCGAAAUUUAAAAACCUUGAUCUGUGGCGCGCAGUUCGAGCUGGAGCUUCACUUUCCUUGUAAUAUCAUCUGUACGAAAGAAGGAUUAUAUAGCUGAUACCAGGAAAUUAUUUUAAAAAUUCGAGUCAUCCACGAAUACCGAAAAUGCACUCUAUUAGUCUAGAGAUGUUGGCUUUCUUUUUCUAGGCCUUUAGUACAAUAAGCUUCAUCAUGAGAU